AUGAGCAACCGGGGGAAGCGGUGCCGGCCCGGGAUGCGCCUCGCGCAGGCCGCCUUCGCGGCCGCCGCGCUCGCCGCCAUGGCGUCCACCCACGGAUUCGCCUCCGUCACCGCGUUCCGCUACCUCAUAGUAGCAGCAACUGUGCAAUGCCUGUGGAGCCUCGCUGUGGCCAUUGUGGAUCUCUAUGCACUUCUUUUCAAACGUUCCUUCCGAAAUGCCCGAGCUUUCAGCAUACUUGCUCUUGGGGACUGGGUCACAGGAGCAAUGAUCUUCAGCGCAGCGUGUGGAUCGGCAGGCAUCACCGUUCUCCUUGACAAUGAUCUCAGAUCUUGCCCGGGAAAUCACUGUCCAAACUUCAUGACUGCUACCGCCAUGGCUUUCUUGUGCUGGUUUGUUCGUGUGCCAUCCGGUAUCGUAAGCCUUUGGUGGGCGGUCUACGAAAUACAAAGAUCCUAG
rnacentral:rRNA from 1 species